UCUAUUUGUUAUAUUUAUAAUUUUGAAACCAGUUGAAAGUGUAUUUACUCAUUGCUAAAAACUCCUCGGGAAAAUAACUAUGCUUUACAAACUACCUGAUGAAUCCUUUCCAUUAAUGUGGUGUAAGCUUUAACAGUGAAGUUGCUACAUAAAAUAAAAUACACCAAUAACAAAGCAAGGAAAAAUACACUCAACAACACAUUUUAUUGUAUUUCUCAGUGGUGGUUCCCGCUACCCCAGCUAAGGGAUACUUUAAGAAAAACUUACUUUAUGGAAGUUACUAUAAAAUUAGUUUUUCAUUAUACAUUGUAAUUUAAUUGCUCAUAAAGUCCAAAAUUAUGAG